GUUAAAUAAAAAUAAAUUAAUAGAAGAUAUUAAAUGUUAUAUCAUUAAAUUUAAAAGAUUUGGCGGUACUUAUAAAUUAGAGGAACCUGUAUAGUAAUUGAUAAUCCACGAUAAGAUUUACUUAAAAUAAAAUUUAUGUAUUGCUGUUUUUAAUAUUUAAUUAAUUUAGAUUUAUAAAAUUAAUAAUUAUUAAAUAAUUCAAGUCAAAAUAUAGUUUUUUUAAGAUUAAUAUGGGUUACAUUUAAUUUUAUUAAAUUAAAUGAAUUAAAAAUUUUAAUAUUUUUAUGAAAAUGGAUUUAAAAGUAAAUUUAAUUAAUUAAUUAAUUUGGAAGAAAAAUUAAGUAUGU
rnacentral:rRNA from 1 species